GAAGGAAGGAGCAGAACGGUGGGGGACGGAGCGCCGCAUCUCCGGCCGGUGGAGGAGGAGGAGGAGAAAAUAUUGGCGGCUUGGCGCAACCUUCUUCCUCCUCCCCCACCCACUUACCGGCCUCACAUUUGGAGCCAGUACGGGCUCGGGCGGCAAAUAUGGACUGGGAGCAGACCAAGACGCGGAGGCCGUCCGGGUGGAGCGAGAGCUUCUCAAAGGUGAAAGCUCGACCAUAUACUCGUUGAGAUGGCAAGGCUGGAGAAGCUCUAUAAAAUGCACACAUGUACUAAGGGGGUUAUUACUGGAGCUCCACUGGACCCGCAAAAUAGAGGCUAUAUCUACUAGCGCAAGCAGAGAAACAGAAACAGAAACAGGAAACUGUACCAUUGAAUCCAUUAACCCGGAUGUAGAGGUACAACUCAUAAAUGAUUUUUGCGCUGGAGGAGGUGAUAGCACAACCAUAUACUCGCUAAGAUGGCAAGGCUGUGUCAGGACUCAGGACCCAAGUAUGUGUUCUUUGAAGAAUUCAACACUGCAUCGUCGAUUCAGUUAAGUUUGAAUUUGAACGAGACAACUCUGACGCUCCUCCUGUCUCCGUACCCCUUCGCUAGUUAUGAAGACCCAGAUGGCGUCUGAUCAGCACCUAACGGCUGCGAGAGCAUCCUGUGUCGCUGUUGGCUUUCCGGCAAGCCUUCAGAGAGCCAACUACUCCAUUUUUCUUUUCCUUCUAUUUCCUCCAAGUUACAAGGUUAUAAAGCCACAUUCCUAGAACUCCCUGGGUAUCUCUCUUGUAUUAGGUUUUCCCCUUAGCCGCCAGUGUUCCUGGUUAGCCUUAGGUUCUUCUUGUAUCACGCUAGAACCCUUGAAUUCGUCCAAUAAAGUGGCUAAGAUUUGCGAGUUU